rnacentral:rRNA from 1 species
AGUGGGGAAUUUUGGACAAUGGGCGCAAGCCUGAUCCAGCAAUGCCGCGUGAGUGAAGAAGGCCUUCGGGUUGUAAAGCUCUUUUGUCAGGGAAGAAACGGCUGUGGCUAAUAUCCACGGCUAAUGACGGUACCUGAAGAAUAAGCACCGGCUAACUACGUGCCAGCAGCCGCGGUAAUACGUAGGGUGCAAGCGUUAAUCGGAAUUACUGGGCGUAAAGCGUGCGCAGGCGGUUUUGUAAGUCUGUCGUGAAAUCCCCGGGCUCAACCUGGGAAUUGCGAUGGAGACUGCAAGGCUAGAAUCUGGCAGAGGGGGGUAGAAUUCCACGUGUAGCAGUGAAAUGCGUAGAGAUGUGGAGGAACACCGAUGGCGAAGGCAGCCCCCUGGGUCAAGAUUGACGCUCAUGCACGAAAGCGUGGGGAGCAAA